rnacentral:misc_RNA from 1 species
GCAAUGACAAACUGGGGCCGAAUUGGACAAGCUAAAACUUUGUCAAUAACAUCAUUCACAGCAACCUGAAGAGAAGGAUUGAGUGAAACAGCAGAAGAGAGCUUUGGAAGAGAAAGGAGGCGAGUGAUGGUAACAUUCCACGAACGGCUCACACAUGCUGCUGCUGCACAGUCAACUGCUGGAAGUUUUGAGAAGACGUUGAAUAGAAGGUCUUCUCCGAUCAUAUCAAUCGUCGCCGGCGGUAACGCCGUCGCCGGUGAUUUCUGCCUCGGUUUAU